UACGUAGGGGGCAAGCGUUGUCCGGAUUUAUUGGGCGUAAAGAGCGUGUAGGCGGCUUUACAGGUCCGUUGUGAAAACUCGAGGCUCAACCUCGAGACGCCGAUGGAAACCAUCUAGCUAGAGUCCGGAAGAGGAGAGUGGAAUUCCUGGUGUAGCGGUGAAAUGCGCAGAUAUCAGGAAGAACACCGGUGGCGAAGGCGGGUCUCUGGGCCGAUACUGACGCUGAGGAGCGAAAGCGUGGGGAGCGAACAGG
rnacentral:rRNA from 1 species